GGGGGUGUUGUCAAAUGGUAUGACAGACGGAUUGAUAUCCGUUGCUCUUUGAGCUGAGAGUUCAAUUCUCUCCAUUACCC
rfam:Oryza sativa Japonica Group DNA, chromosome 4, cultivar: Nipponbare, complete sequence.